rnacentral:lncRNA from 1 species
AACGGGAGUUAGGGAGGCAAAUUAGAAACAGAGAGCGCUAUUGAAAGGAAUUAAGGUCUGAGGACAAUGGGCACCUGCGAUCCUAUAAAGCACGUGAGAAGUGAUGAAGACAUUUUCCUCCACAACACAUUCAGGACUGCAGAAUAGCAAUGGGAGCUGUCGUUUAGGAUAAAGAUACUGAAAACAUAUUGGACACGUUGGAACUUGCAGGUCCUUCUAGUCGUGGCAUAUGGGACGCCGCCUCAACGUGACCUGAUGGGCGGCACCAAGUUCGCGCCCAGGAUCUGAACCAGCGAAACCCUGGGCCGAAGCAGAGUGCGCGAACUUAACCACUCGGCCACGGGGCUUGCCCCCUCUCUUCCGCUUUUACUGAGCCUUGUGAUUACAUUGGGCACACCUGGGUAAUCCAGGCUACUCUCCCAUCUCAAGAUCCUUAAUUGAGCCACACCUGCAAAGUCCCUUUUGCCAGGGAGGGUAACAGAUUCACAGGUUCUGGGUAUUAGCAUGUGGACAUCAUUGGGGGGCCGUUAUUCUGCCCACCACAGGCAUCUACCUACUUCUGCUGAAGUGUGAUCCUUGGAGGAUGGGGUCCCACUGCUCCUGCUGCUGCUGUGAGGUGCCUGCCUCCAAAUCGUGGUGCCAGCAGAUCUGUAAAGUUAGAAGGAAGAGCACCGCUUGUCUGGAGAGACAAACUGGAAACAAAACCUCCAGACAAGAUGAAGAUUUCGUUGGGACUUUCAGUCAAGAUGGCUCAGUUAGUUCCUUCCUCAACGCCUGUGCUCCAAACCCAUGGAAAGGGCAGGAUAUUUAUUAAUGGGGAGGAGAUAGAGCAAAGUUCAUAAAGGAGAUGAUCUUCUCUGUGCACGAAGAAAGAGACAGGAAGGCCAAAUGCGAGCAGGGCUACAAGGAGGACCUAGAGGCUCCCAGGUCCGGAAGCAGCACUGGAAUCCAGGGCUUGACUCCUGUAAAGGGGACUAAAAGUGCUCACGGCACACAGGAACUCGUGCACAGCUCACGGCGUGAGGCCAGGGGCUGGGGUGAGGCUCCUCGCCUCGCAGCACACGUGCAAGGAUGCUGAAACUAAAUGACUUUGUCCCAAUUCCACCUGGGACUUUGGCUUUUAGAAAGCUGCUAGCCUCGGGGGAAACAAGGACACAGAUAUGGAUUCACAUCCAGGAACUCAGCUGAGCUGCCCAUGGCUAACGGCCUGGACCAGUGACAUUUCCCAUCUGACAGCACAGCAGGAACCCAAAGCACUAGCGUGGAGCGUGAUUGUGUCUGGAGAUCUUUAGGGCUGGAUGGAGACAGCUCAGAACUCCCAGGCACAUAAUGUGUGUUUUUGGUUGGGGGAGGAUAAAAGAGAAAGAAAUACAAACUAAACAAAUCCACCCAUUCCAAAGUAAGAAGGCUCAACAAAAAUCUAAAACCUAUGACAUAAUAUGACAUUAAAAUACAGCCAAUAAAAUCAACAACUGAAGAAUGAAAUAUUCCAGAAGAAAUAAUUUUAUAGAGUACUUUGACAAAGACAAGCACAACUUUUGGUGUCCUUUCUGUUCAAAUCUUCUGCUCAAAUGCUUAUUUCUCGGCAGAUGGUGAUGGGAGGUCCUGGGUGGAAGUCUGGAAUCUGGGUCUCUAAUGGGCACCAACAAGUGAUUCAGGCACUGAUAACAGUAGAUGAUGCAAUAGGAAGCAGUAUUUACUUCUUUUGUGUUUUCUAUUAGAAUAUUCAAUUCAAUACGAAAUGUAUAGAAGGCUAUAAACAAAAUUUAUUGAGUUGGGAGCUAGUAGAUGAUCUUUCACGUUAUUUGCCUUUUUUCUAUUGUAAACUAUCUUCCUUCUAAAUCACCUCUUAACUCUACUUCCUGCUUCAAUUAUGGCCAGAAAUGUCAGCCCAUAAACAAAGAAGUUUGCUCCAGUGGCAAGUUCAGUGAGAAGACAGCAGUUGCUGAUGGCAGACGUGUAUUUAAACCCAACCUCCAACCUCAUCACGUGAUGAGGAGAGUAAGCCUUUGAAUCACUAUGGGAUGUGUGGACACCUCCACACCAGAGCCUGUUGUUUCCUUCUGGGAAAGGAAUUAUUCCCUCCUAGGUUGGAGUCUGUGCUCCCCAGUCUUUUUCACUUCAUCACAGAUGGUGACCUGUUACAAUACACUGAAUGUUUGUGUCCCCUCAAAUUUCUUUUCUGUAACCUAGUCUCCAAUAUGAUGGUAUUUAGAGGCAGGGCCCUUAGAAGGUGAUUAGAUCCUGAGGGUGAAGCCCUCAUGAAUGAGACUGGUGCCCUUAUAGAAGAGGCCCUGGGAGGUCCCCUGCCCUUCUGCUAUGUGAGCACAAAGCAAAAGAUAGCUGUUUAUGGGGGCUGACCCCAUGGCCCAGUGGUUAAGUUCACACACUCCACUUUGGUGGCCCAGGGUU